AGAUUAAACUGAAGAGUUUGAUCCUGGCUCAGAUUGAACGCUGGCGGCAUGCUUUACACAUGCAAGUCGUACGCGGGUGAGGGGCAACUCUCACCUGAGUGGCGAACGGGUGAGUAAUACAUCGGAACGUGUCCCGUAGUGGGGGAUAGCUCGGCGAAAGCCGGAUUAAUACCGCAUAUGCUCUACGGAGGAAAGCGGGGGAUCCGCAAGGACCUCGCGCUAUGGGAGCGGCCGAUGUCCGAUUAGCUUGUUGGUGGGGUAACGGCUUACCAAGGCGACGAUCGGUAGCUGGUCUGAGAGGAUGAUCAGCCACACUGGGACUGAGACACGGCCCAGACUCCUACGGGAGGCAGCAGUGGGGAAUUUUGGACAAUGGGGGAAACCCUGAUCCAGCCAUGCCGCGUGAGUGAAGAAGGCCUUCGGGUUGUAAAGCUCUUUUGGCCGGAAAGAAAAGGCUACGGAUAACACCCGUGGUCCUUGACGGUACCGGCAGAAUAAGCACCGGCUAACUACGUGCCAGCAGCCGCGGUAAUACGUAGGGUGCGAGCGUUAAUCGGAAUUACUGGGCGUAAAGAGUGCGUAGGCGGUCCCGCAAGUCCGCUGUGAAAGCCCCGGGCUUAACCUGGGAAUGGCAGUGGAAACUAUGGGACUUGAAUCUGGCAGAGGGGGGUGGAAUGCCACGUGUAGCAGUGAAAUGCGUAGAGAUGUGGCGGAACACCGAUGGCGAAGGCAGCCCCCUGGGCUGAGAUUGACGCUCAGGCACGAAAGCGUGG
rnacentral:rRNA from 1 species